rnacentral:tRNA from 1 species
GGGGUUGUAAGCUAGCUUGGUAGACUGCCAGCUUCGGGAGCUGGACGCCUGAGUUCAAAUCUCAGCAACCCCA